GUGAGCAACCUGCCCCAAAGACCGGGACAACCCGAGGAAACUCGGACUAAUACCGGAUGCCCUCACCGGGUCGCAUGGUCUGGUGAGGAAAUGGAUUCCGCUUUGGGAUGGGCUCGCGGUCUAUCAGCUUGUUGGUGGGGUAACGGCCUACCAAGGCGACGACGGAUAGCUGGUCUGAGAGGACGAUCAGCCACACUGGGACUGAGACACGGCCCAGACUCCUACGGGAGGCAGCAGUGGGGAAUCUUGUGCAAUGGGCGAAAGCCUGACGCAGCAACGCCGCGUGCGGGAUGAAGGCCUUCGGGUUGUAAACCGCUUUCAGGAGGGACGAAAUUGACGGUACCUCCAGAAGAAGCCCCGGCCAACUACGUGCCAGCAGCCGCGGUAACACGUAGGGGGCAAGCGUUGUCCGGAUUUAUUGGGCGUAAAGAGCUCGUAGGCGGCUUAGUAAGUCGGGUGUGAAACCUCCAGGCUCAACCUGGAGACGCCACCCGAUACUGCUAUAGCUAGAGUCCGGUAGGGGAGCGUGGAAUU
rnacentral:rRNA from 1 species